rnacentral:rRNA from 1 species
GACGAAUGCUGGCGGCGUGGAUUAGGCAUGCAAGUCGAACGGGUUGGGUAGCAAUACUCAAUCAGUGGCGAAAGGGUGAGUAACACGUGAGUAAUCUGCCCUUAGGAUUGGGAUAACCUCGCGAAAGCGAGGCUAAUACCGAGUGUGACCGUGUUGUCUUCGGACGAUACGGUAGAAAGGAUGGCCUCUAUUUAUAAGCUAUCGCCUUUGGAUGAGCUCGCGGUAUANAGCUAGUUGGUAGGUAAUGGCCUACCAAGGCUAUGAUGUAUAGCUGGCCUGAGAGGGUGGUCAGCCACACUGGGACUGAGACACGGCCCAGACUCCUACGGGAGGCAGCAGUGGGGAAUUUUGGACAAGUGGGGCAACCCUGAUCCAGCCAUGCCGCGUGCGGGAAGAAGGCC